rnacentral:other from 1 species
AUUUCCCUGCCUGGUUCGUGAUGGAUCGAGGCCGAAUUGUCGUGAACCGAUGCGAAUCAAAAGGGAGGCGUUCCUCUCGGCACCGCGCGUACUGCCGCCAAGCGUGGGCAGAGGCAGGGGGUCGGGGUCACGUCGCCCACCUGCUUAGGCAGGUUCCGACGGCGCGGUCCACACGGCCAAGGCGGGGAAUUU